UACGGAGGGUGCGAGCGUUGUCCGGAAUCACUGGGCGUAAGGGCGCGUAGGCGGCCUGAUAAGUAGGGGGUGAAAUCCUGCGGCUUAACCGCAGGGCUGCCUUCUAAACUGUCAGGCUCGAGCACAGUAGAGGCAGGUGGAAUUCCCGGUGUAGCGGUGGAAUGCGUAGAGAUCGGGAAGAACAUCAGUGGCGAAGGCGGCCUGCUGGGCUGUUGCUGACGCUGAGGCGCGACAGCGUGGGGAGCAAACAGG
rnacentral:rRNA from 1 species